rnacentral:rRNA from 1 species
AGCGAACGCUGGCGGCAGGCUUAACACAUGCAAGUCGAGCGGGCACUUUCGGGUGUCAGCGGCGGACGGGUGAGUAACGCGUGGGAACGUGCCCUCUGGUUCGGAAUAACUCAGGGAAACUUGAGCUAAUACCGGAUACGCCCUUUUGGGGAAAGGCUUGCUGCCGGAGGAUCGGCCCGCGUCUGAUUAGCUAGUUGGUGAGGUAACGGCUCACCAAGGCGACGAUCAGUAGCUGGUCUGAGAGGAUGAUCAGCCACACUGGGACUGAGACACGGCCCAGACUCCUACGGGAGGCAGCAGUGGGGAAUAUUGGACAAUGGGCGCAAGCCUGAUCCAGCCAUGCCGCGUGAGUGAUGAAGGCCUUAGGGUUGUAAAGCUCUUUUAUCCGGGACGAUAAUAACGGUACCGGAGGAAUAAGCCCUGGCUAACUUCGUG